rnacentral:rRNA from 1 species
GUGCCAGCCGCCGCGGUAAUACAGAGGGUGCGAGCGUUAAUCGGAAUUACUGGGCGUAAAGCGCACGUAGGUGGCUUUGCAAGUCGAUUGUGAAAUCCCCGGGCUUAACCUGGGAACUGCAGUCGAGACUGCUUUGCUUGAGUAUGGGAGAGGGAGGUGGAAUUUCCGGUGUAGCGGUGAAAUGCGUAGAUAUCGGAAGGAACAUCAGUGGCGAAGGCGACCUCCUGGACCAAUACUGACACUCAAGUGCGAAAGCGUGGGGAGCAAACAGGAUUAGAAACCCUCGUAGUCC